ACAUUAGAAUUAGCUGGGGUGCUUGUUAAAAAUUCAGUUAUCCAUCUUACUUUUACCAACUCAGAUUCUUCAGCCAUUUGCAUUGAUAGCCACUCCCCAGGCAUUGCUGUGCUGGGAAGGAAUGCUUAAACCUGCCACAGCCAUGUUGUGAUUAUGAAGGGAGCCAACCUGAGGACAAAUCACAUUUUCUGAGGAUGGCAAAGCAAACAGAUGCAAAGAUCCUGGGUCUUUGAUGGCAUUGUGGAGUUGCUGGACAGCUUCCCUACUUUUCACGUUCCUAUGACACAAUGUUAUCAUCGUCCUUGUUGUAUCAGCCAGGGAAGCUAAAGAAUGAUGCGCUCCACCACAAUGAGGGACUAAACAACAAAAAGGAGGCAUGAGAUUCAGGAAGCAAAAAAGGAAUUCAUCAUAUGAAGGAAUGAAGAUGUUCAAAAGAAAACCUUCAACCUCAUGCCAGAAGAUGUUCCCAGCUGUAUAAAUGCCUAACUCAGCUUCUAGUCCUUGGAAAUUAAGCAGCUCAUUGAAAAUUCAAGAGUUCCAGCCAGAAGCUACAGCUAGGCUCAGAUGUUGAAAUCAGUCUCUCCUGCUGAUCAAACUGUGACAUAGCCAAAGCAAUAGGCCUGGCUUUUCAGUUAAUUCUCAGCGAGCCCUUCCUUUCCCUCUGUAGUGGUUGGUGUGGCAUUUAUAAUAUAACUCCUUUAUGUA
ensembl:lncRNA GNAO1-DT GNAO1 divergent transcript